AUUGAACGCUGGCGGCAUGGCUAAGACAUGCAAGUCGAACGAUGAAGACCCCUUCCGGGGGUGGUAUGAAGUGGCGAAAGGGCGAGGAAUACAUUCCUACGUGCCUCGAGGUCAGGGAUAGCCCAGGGAAACCUGGAGUAAUACCUGAUGUGGUCUACGGAUCAAAGGCUUGCUGCCUUGAGAGCGGGGAAUGUCCUAUCAGGUUGUUGGUGAGGUAAAGGCUCACCAAGCCUAAGACGGGUAGCGGGUGGUGAGAGCAUGACCCGCCGCAUCGGGACUGAGACACUGCCCGGACUCCUACGGGAGGCUGCAGUAACGAAUAUUCCGCAAUGCGCGAAAGCGUGACGGAGCAAUGCCGCGUGCAGGAUGAAGCCUUUCGGGGUGUAAACUGCUGUCAGGGUACAGGAACACAAUGACCAUACCCAAAGGAAGGGCCGGCUAACUUCGUG
rnacentral:rRNA from 1 species